rnacentral:rRNA from 1 species
ACUCCUACGGGAGGCAGCAGUCGGGAAUCUUGCGCAAUGGGCGAAAGCCUGACGCAGCAACACCGUGUGAGCGACGAAGGCCUUCGGGUCGUAAAGCUCUGUUGUUGGGGACGAAGGGUUAGGGGUUAAUAGCCCCGAGCCUGACGGUACCCUUCGAGGAAGCCCCGGCUAACUACGUGCCAGCAGCCGCGGUAAUACGUAGGGGGCGAGCGUUGUCCGGAAUUAUUGGGCGUAAAGAGCGUGUAGGCGGUUCGGUAAGUCUGCCGUGAAAACCCAGGGCUCAACCCUGGGCGUGCGGUGGAUACCGCCGGGCUAGAGGGUGGUAGAGGCGAGUGGAAUUCCCGGUGUAGCGGUGAAAUGCGUAGAGAUC